rnacentral:sRNA from 1 species
AUCUAGCCCCGAUGGGAGUGAUAUCCUUUUAUGACAGGGUUUGGCAUAAAAGAUAUAACGGACAGCGGGACAAUAU